AAAGGCCAGCUUUCUUUAACUAGAGUCUCCAUUUCAGCCUGCUUUCAGCUUUGGUCAUUUCCCAGCAGGGCAGGUGCUGGGACCCGAGUGUGCAGCCCCAAUCAGACUGUGUCUGGACUCGCAGCUGCAUGUGCAUGGCCGCCUCCAGUGGGACACGCUCUCCUGGGACACAGGUCGGGCGCGUGUGCGUGUGCACAUGUGUGCGUGUGCACGCGUGCGUUUGAGAAGUCUGAUACCAUUUUGGGGGGACAAUUCGGAGGAAAGCAGUUGUUACCAGAGUGAGAAAGAAGCCCACCUUUUUCUUGACCAUGAGACUGAGCAAUGCUGGUUGAACCCUCCCUGCGUUUCUUGGAUGUUCAUGACAUCUUUGGCUGUGAGUGUGGUAGUUAUUGGCGUCUUCCGGUGAGUCUGCAAGCUGCAACAUGCCCCGAGGAAGAAUCAGCAUCCUGAGAAGGGGCGUCAGCAGGACCAAGGUGGUCGCGUGUCAACAAGAAAUUCCAGGUGUGGGUAAUCCUGCAGGUGACUUCUCCCCUGAGGACACAUGACUUCUCCCCUGAGGUUCACUCGGCACUGAACCCUGUGGUUCUCUGCCAGGAGAGGCUGCAGACAUGGGCUCACAGAGGGAAGAGUGGAGGCAACAUUCUAGAAAGUAUAAAAGUAAAGGACACUUCUCAGUUGCCCGGAUCAAAAACCGAGGGCCACUCUCAACUCUCCCUACCAGAAUGGAAAUGAUCACAGGCACGAAAACACCUACCAGCCAACAACGGUUCCUCCACGUGCCAGCUCCUGCUGAUUUGAUUCUGCUGUCGGCUUUAAGAUGGUGGAAGGAACGAUGGAAUGCAGGCAGCCACUAGAAAGCCAAGAGACAAGGAAACAGAUUGUCCCCAGCGCUUCCAGAAAGAACCAGCCCUGCUGAGACCUCGUUUUUGGUGCUAUCCAUGUCAGAUGUCUGACCCCCGAAUUGUAAGAUGACACAUUUGUGUUGUUUUAAGCCACUGUGUUUAUGGUCAUUUGUUACAGCAGGAAAUCAACACACAGGAGAGAGGGGGCUCACCAGGAACCCACCCCUACCCCUGGGAACUGGCCAAGGACUCUGAUGACGUCCUGAAACGUUUUGUUUUGUAGGAUGAGCACAGAGGGGGAAGGGGUGUUUCAUGGAUGGUCAGGAGCAGGAACUGGAGAGCCUCUGAAAGAGGUUUCCAGGCUAGGCUGGAAGGAGCCAGAAGGGAGCAUCCUGGUUUCUCCGUCCUUGUUGUUGAGAAUCUUCAGUGUGUACGGAAGGGCAUGGGGACAGGUGGGGAAGGGAGAGGUUAAAAUUAGCACACAGGUUAAAAAAAACUUAGCAAGCAGGUGCAUAGCUGUGCAAUAAAACCAAACCCUCCUCCUGCCCUUGGGAGCAAAGGACUUUUCUUUCCUUUGCAGGGGACCUUCCCAGCUUCUUUCACCUCCACGACUGAGAUCUCUGCAGCUUGCGUGAGGUCCAUCUUUCCGGCUCUGUUCUGGCUGCUGAGAUAGUAGCUUUUUCUUUUUUUUCACUUUCUUUUAAAUAUUCUUUUCUUCUCCUGAUUGCUUCUCCCUCAAGUUUUUCCAGCAGAACUUGGAAUUUAAUAAAGGGGAAAAAAAAGACAGAUGAGACUUAAAAUUGGGAUGUUCUAAAUUUCUAAAAGGAGACUAUCGAAAAGGAAAAAUGUUCAAGUAGCAUCUAAACGGGAGGAAAGAGAAACAAAUGAAAUGAUCGUGCAAUAGGUGUGGAUGGUCAAGAAUUGAGCGGUCCCAAACGAGUUACCCAUCGGUGACUCUUGUCUCCCAGAGAGAGAUGGAUGGAUGGAAAUACAAGAUAAAGGAAGGUCGAGUUUUUCGCAUAAACAUUAGAAAGGCCUAAGGAAGGAUGCACACUUCACAAACCUGAUGGUUUGAUUUCCCUAUUCUGAUCCUUGGUCUUCUCUUUGACGUCUUUUCUCAAAGCUGCAUCAUAUUAGAAAGAAGAAAUGGCUCUUGGAAUUCUGCACUUCCUUUCUCGUACUUCCUGAAAUAGCAACCCCAGUAAUGUAGGUUGCAGUCUUGGAGCACAGACCACAUUUUCUUCCACAGCACAGCCUCAUGGUAUUUUGUGUCCUGUCCAUUUUUCACCUGAUUCCAAAUAUGUAUAUGGUCCUUAUGGUUGAAAGAGACAGUGUUUCAGGUCUUAUGCAUGUAUACAUUUCUGAAAAAUGCAGACUGCUUUGUCUUCACACCCAACG